UACGAAAGGGGGCUAGCGUUGUUCGGAAUUACUGGCGUACAGCGCGCGCAGGCGGUCGCUGACGUGCCGUGUGACAAACGGGGCUCAACCCCCGAGGGCCACGGUAAACGGGUGACUGGAGGUAGGGAGAGGGAUGCGGAAUUCCAGGUGUAGCGGUGAAAUGCGUAGAUAUCUGGAGGAACACCGGUGGCGAAGGCGACGUCCUGGACCGGCAUUGACGCUGAGGCGCGGAAAGCCAGGGAGCAAACGGG
rnacentral:rRNA from 1 species